ACAACAAAUUACCAAGAAUAAAAAAAAAUAUGAAUAAAUGCAUGCAUACAUAAGUAAAUAAACACAGACAUUUAUAAUUAAAUAUCAAUUCAGGCAAAAAUAAAUAAAUAAAUAGAUAAAUAAAUACUGUCAAAAAUAUUAACUUUGUACCAUUUAUUUGUAUGUAUUUCUGUGUCUGUAAGUUAAUGAGAUAGGCUGUCCUUCUCAAUGCAGGAUAGGGUAUUUGCACAUGUCACGUUACUGCGUUUAAGUAUCGCGAAGUACAGAUGGUGGCCAUGAAGUAUUUUCUGCUCUACAAAGGAAUCGCACAAUCUCAAAAUGCCUUAUUUUGCGUUGUUUAUAGUUGCCUAAAUCGGUUCUUAUUGUGUGGCAAACGUUGCUGUUCAUAAGGGGCAAAAUACAAGAUUAAAAAAACGCAGGAAAAGUGGCUUGUAAACUUGUCUGCGACGAGAUGAACAGAGUCUGAUAAUAGGGACUUUCUAACACGCAUUAAAUGCCUAAACAACGACAAGGAAAACACAACAUUCUGUCAAACCUUACUUGUAAUAAACUCUUGGUUCAGUCAAAACAACGAUUCCUCAAGGAUAAAUCUUACGUUAAGCAUUAAUCAUUUUAGCCUGAUUUCCCCAUUAGAACUAUGAGGGCACCGCAUACCGGCUCAAGGCAGCUGAGAACAUAAAACGUUUUUGUUAUCGUGUUGAUUUGAUUUCAGUGAUUAACAAAUGUAUUUAAUAUGGUUUUCCAUGGUCGUUCUUUAAGCCACGUUAUCUUAAUGUGAUAUUUAUCUGUAAGGCUCGUUCUCUUGACAGAAGCUGUAGUUUAUUACAAAUAUCUAUGUAUGAGUCUCUUGAUUGUCCUCAAUGUGAAAAGAGGAAUCAACAUCGUACCUGCUGGACAUGAGUCAAAUAUCCAGAAAUGCUGAAAAAGCAAAGAUUGUGGAGGACCUGGGUGAUUGUUUUGCAGAUCAGUGGACAGUCUAUUGACUCAUGACAAACAAGAAACCCUUAAACAACUAUGACUAAACAUAAAAACUGUCAUUGAUUGUUUAGGUAACAUCAUACAGUAUUAAAAUGUUGCCAGCCUAUGCCAGCGUUUUUUAACAUUUUCACCAAACUUUAAUGGCUCACAGUACAUUUUCUGUAAAGAUUAUAUGGACAAACAAUAUGUCCAAUGAAAGAACAGAGUCUCAGCUUUUAAACAAAAGAAACCGUAUAUCUUCCUCUUCAUUGGUUCGUUUUUUUAUCACUCCAUAGAUGUGGGUAGGUUUCUUCAAAAAUGCCUCAUUUUGAUCAAACAGCUGAGAUAAUUAAAAAAAAUUGUCAAAGAUUCAGCCCAGAUUACACAACAAUCAUUAAAAACUGCUAAAACAUAUACGUUCUGGGAUUCUGUACUGUUUCCCAAAGGUGUGUAAAAGCGCCACCUGCAGUAAAACAGUACAAACACUGAUUGCUGUAAUAACUGGUCUUUGGGGAACUUUUUUCUUUUAAUGACGAGAUGGUGAAAGAGUAAACAGGGUGGUGAUCCACACAGGAAGUUUAAGCAGUGAAGAUGAAAAUAGUUCAACUUUUCAGAAUGCCGCACUGCAUGACAAAGCUGUACGGUUUGCUUUUUCCGCGCGGUUUUAGACGCAAAAUGUGAAUCGCCCCUUCGUGCAUUUGACUGAUAAUGGGCAGAGGUCUGAUCUUGUGUCUUCUAAAAUUGUCUGAUUGUCAGACCGAAACACGUGAGUUGGAGAAUCGACUAUGAGUUAUGAAUAAAAAAUAAAAUCAAAUGUUUAUUUAUUAUAAUUGUUCAUUCACAAAUUAAGAUGUACUUCAUGAUGUCCUUUUUCUCUAUAUUUCAGGUCAAGUUGAAGCCUUGAUAACAAAUGUUUGAAUUUCUGAACAGGUUUUGAUGGCAUUUUUGCUUUGCAGCUCUGAUGAUGUUUGCCACCAACUGGCAUAAACUUUCAGGGCUUCUGUUAAAUAUGUAAUCUAGAUAUUUUCUGGUUUCUCGUGGACUUCAUUAUCUCAUAGUCCAUAACGUGCAGAAUGUUUUCGUGGCGCGAUCAGAGACAGAGUUUACUUUGCAAUGGUACAAUGACAAUAGCAACUACGCCUAUAUAUUGAGAUGCAGUCAUGGAGUAUGACAGCGGAUCGAUUCAAAUGGAUUCAAGAUUGUGUGACGGUGACACAGCGUCAUCUCUCUCUCCUGGCACCGGAUACACAUUCACUGUGUUUGAAAGAGCCCAGAGGAGUGGAUUCAACUUCACUACACCCCGUUGAAUCUCAGAUGAGUGUCUACGUGACAAAGUGAUGAGUAUACAUAGUAAAAAGUUAUGUUUAUUAUCUUAGAAUGAGCUACUUCUAUCUACAUACACCACGGGUCCACAAGUCACCAUGUUGUUUCUACAGUAGCCAUUAAUGGACAAACUGCUGUGCAAAACGCAUCUCAUAAAAAAUAUUAUCGCCAUCAAAGCAAAAACAUGACGACAUUGUUCUGUGUCAGCCAACGUAGUGUUUUGAAAGGAUGAGGAAAGGGUCAACAUCACCACUAGAUGCAAAGUUCAUACAUACACUGGACCUUUAAGUUGUUUACAAUUUUAAAAUUUACUUAUUUUUAUGAUCAAAAUUUAAAAUUUACACUUUUGCUAAAAAAAUAUACUUUUUUUAAAGGUACUUGUUUUUGGGGUUUUUUUAAGAGUGAGGUGCUACUUCCCUAUGGCAUAUCAACGUCACAACACAAAGAGUUUUUGUAACAAUACAACGUCAGGUGGAUGUGUUAGUUUAUGAGAUCUGUUUGUGCUUCUAUGAUCAUGGCUGGAGUUGUGAUGAUGAUGUUAAUCUUCGGUGUAGUUACGGGACAAUCCCCCUGGAACAACAUGGAGUAAAGUGUCUUGCUCAAGGACACACUGGUGGUGGCUGCUGGGAUCGAACCAGCAACCUUUGAUUUACCAUUUCGGUGGUUUAACCCACUAGACCACCAUCUCCUUCAAAAUUGAGAGUAAAGCAAGAUACAGAGUGAUUAUUUUCAGAUAGAUAGCGAGUGGGUUUCUUACCCGCGUGGUCUUAUUGAUGUCUGGUUCUAUGUGAUCUUCGAGGGGGCUCUGGGUCCGGAUAUUUUGAGCCACAUGGAAAGGACUGUGUCCUGCGUUUAUUUAUUUUUCUGAAAACAAGGAAUUACAUCAUGAAGUGAAUUGAAUUUGAAGAUGUUCAAUAUGGAUAGUAUUCUUCAUUGUCCAAUUCAUUCAUCGCUUAAAAAAAGACAACCAAAUUGAGCCCUUAGACAACUUGUCAACAAGAUAUGUCAUUGGUCCAGGGAGUGUCUCUAUGGUUCUCUGGUGAUUGCCUGCUUAAAGCAAGCUCAAAGAAGUGCUUCAUCCUCAAACCAAAAAAUUUUGUUUUUACUUUUCUCAGAAACACACAGAAAGGCGCUGAAAACCUGUAUGGAUUUCUUUCUUCUGUGGAAUACAUAAAAAGAUAUUUUGAGAAAAAGUUGAGUGAUUUUGUGACACAAUGGAAGUCAAUGAGGGCCGGUCUAACAUUCUUCAAAAUAUGUUGUAGGUCUUUUACCCGGACCAUAUCCACACUAAAGACAUCUCACAUUGACAGAUGCACAUGUCACCUAUAGAAACAAAAUAUACUGUUGGACAAAACAUACGGCAUGUUUAUUCUAACGUUUGUUAACUAUUUCAGUAAACAUGUAAAUUGAAAUCAUUAUGAUUUAUAACUGGAACACAUUAUGUGCUG